UGUCUACACAUAAAAGCCGCCCCUGAGGGCUGGUUGCACCAGCAGUGAGCUUUUGGGUUGUUCUUCAUUUCCCUGGUGUGACACUGAGAUGAGACGACUGAAUGCGCUGAUCGCCAAAUGUUUAAAGCUCUGUCUCUACCAAAUCUACUUAAUUAAAUCGUUUGAAGAAAAGGCAGCACACGCACAGUCGUGUGAUCAUGUAUACAGCCUGGAGUCCGGGCCUCUUCAGGACGAAGGUGCCUGGACUUGCCUGCCUACUGGGAGACGCUGGCCUCUCUGCUGUGGUAACAGUAUCUAUAGCGGCACUUUCAGACCAACCCAACAAUGUUAAAGCGGCUGAUGGAGCCGUUUGUGUGCUUCUCAUAUAUCAUGGCAAUUAUGUGAAUUUAACCUCGCCAUUGACAGCUCCCAAAUGAUAGAAUCUAUCCCUCAGACAGCUUUAUCAAGAUUUUAGAUUGUCUGUGCUGUAAUGAGUCCUUUAAAUAACCAAAUGACAGAAACUAAGCAUGCUUUUCUUGGGCAGUUUUAGUGUGUUGAUACAACUGUAAGUGUUUUCUACUACAGCAGUUAAUUAUAUCUAUAUACUCAUCAGCAGCAGUAUAAAGAAUGGAGAAAUGGUUCAUUUACUGGUUCUGCACUUGAAUGCUCUCCUGUUCCUUCCAGCCUAAGGAACCAGACCGAAAAUAACAGUUGAAUAUAAGCAGCUGUAGCUGUUUCA